rnacentral:rRNA from 1 species
UACGUAGGGUGCGAGCGUUAAUCGGAAUUACUGGGCGUAAAGGGUGCGCAGGCGGCCGCGCAAGUCGAGUGUGAAAGCCCCGGGCUUAACUUGGGAAUUGCGCUCGAAACUACGUGGCUGGAGUGUGGCAGGGGAAGGUGGAAUUCCACGUGUAGCGGUGAAAUGCGUAGAGAUGUGGAGGAACACCAAUGGCGAAGGCAGCCUUCUGGGCCAACACUGACGCUCAUGCACGAAAGCGUGGGGAGCAAACAGG